UUAUAUUACCAUUUCUUUGAUUGCCUUCUCUGCUUACUGACGUGCUUUACGGGAACUGAUCUAUAUCAAGUAGAGCAUGGAACCAGAAUAGCCUCUAACCUAUUGUAUGGCUUAUAUGCUGGUCCUUGUUGCCCUACCAACACCUUCCAGAUUCUGAGAUAGUUUCCAAGGAUUUCUUUUACUGUCACAUACAUACUCAUAUUAUUGGAACUGAUGUGAGGAGGACAUGUGUAUAUCUUAGAGCUCAUGUCAUAGAGAUACAGAUGGUAUUUUAAAACUCAGAAGAUCUUUGUGAUUGUAUUUUCAAAAUUGGAAGUAGGGAACCGGGAUGUCCUCGAACGCUCAAACCCGGCUUACAUCUUACUAGCCUUAGUUUGGUGCUACAAUUCAAUUCAAUGCCCUACCCAGUCCAGUCCUUCCAGACUUUUGCGGUAUAUGCGCCUUUAUAUCUUUGAUAGUUGUUCAAAACUGAAAGCAUCUUUGCCUUUCUUUUGUUUUUGUUUCCAAUGCUUGUUUGUACAUACUUCUCAUGUGUAAUGAUAAUAAUAUUUCUCCCUUGCACCGUAUGCCCUUAGCAUUAUAUAUGUUGUCUUCUCAAGUAUGGAUGAUGGCUGACCUCAUGGUUUAUUUCAGAUGGCAUAUGGAACAAGAGGAUACAUGAAUGAACAGUUCAAUCUUCC
rnacentral:lncRNA from 1 species